rnacentral:rRNA from 1 species
AGCUCCAAUAGCGUAUAUUAAAGUUGUUGCAGUUAAAAAGCUCGUAGUUGGAUUUCUGGGAGGGUGCCGCCGUCCGGCGUGUCCGUGUGCAGUGGCGCCCUUCCAUCCUUCUGUUAGCGUCUCUUGGCAUUCAUUUGCUGGUGGCGGGCUCAGAUAUUUUACCUUGAGAAAAUUAGAGUGUUUCAGGCAGGCUAGGCCGGAAUACAUUAGCAUGGAAUAAUGGAAUAGGACUACGGUCUCUUUGUUGGUUUGAGGGACUGCAGUAAUGAUUAAUAGGGAUAGUUGGGGGCAUUAGUAUUUAAUUGUCAGAGGUGGAAUUCUCAGAUUUGUUAAAGACUAACUUAUGCGAAAGCAUUUGCCAAGGAUGUUUUCA